AGAGUUUGAUCAUGGCUCAGAUUGAACGCUGGCGGCGUGCCUAACACAUGCAAGUCGAGCGGUAACAGGUGUAGCAAUACAUGCUGACGAGCGGCGAACGGGUGAGUAAUGCUUUGGAAUCUUCCCAGUAGUGGGGAAUAACCAGUCGAAAGAUUGGCUAAUACCGCAUACGUCUGUAAAGGGAAAGCGGGGGCUCGUAAGACCUCGCGCUAUUGGAUGAGCCAAAGUCGGAUUAGCUAGUUGGUGAGGUAAUGGCUCACCAAGGCGACAAUCCGUAGCUGGUCUGAGAGGACGACCAGCCACACCGGAACUGAGACACGGUCCGGACUCCUACGGGAGGCAGCAGUGGGGAAUAUUGGACAAUGGGGGAAACCCUGAUCCAGCGACGCCGCGUGUGUGAAGAAGGCCUGCGGGUUGUAAAGCACUUUUAGUGGGGACAAAAAGCUACGGACUAAUACUCUGUGGUCUUGAUUUAACUCACAGAAAAAGCACCGGCUAACUCUGUGCCAGCAGCCGCGGUAAUACAGAGGGUGCGAGCGUUAAUCGGAAUUACUGGGCGUAAAGCGCGCGUAGACGGUUUUGUAAGUCAGAUGUGAAAUCCCCGGGCUCAACCUGGGAACUGCAUUUGAAACUGCAUGGCUAGAGUACGGUAGAGGGAAGUGGAAUUUCCGGUGUAGCGGUGAAAUGCGUAGAUAUCGGAAGGAACACCAGUGGCGAAAGCGACUUCCUGGACCAGUACUGACGUUCAUGUGCGAAAGCGUGGGGAGCAAACAGGAUUAGAUACCCUAGUAGUCC
rnacentral:rRNA from 1 species